UACAUACAUACAUACCUAUAUCGUGCAUAUAUCUACCACAUUAUUUUUAUAUACAGUGCAUAUAUCUACCACACAUAUAUGUAUGUAUGUAUGUAUGAAAGCAGGGCAGUG
rnacentral:pre_miRNA from 2 species